rnacentral:rRNA from 15 species
AAAAAAAAUUAGGUUGUAAUCAAAAAAUUUAUUGAGUGUGAUCAUGGCUCGGGAUUAACGCUAAUUAGACGCCUAACACAUGCGAGUUUUAUAUAUAUUAGAUAACAAUUAAAUCUAAAUGUAUAGCGUCAAGGUGAGUAUAAUACAUAAAUAUGCCUUUAAGCCUAUUUAAAUAAUAGUUAAUUUUAAAACAAUAACAAAUGCUAUAAAAAACAAUUAUAAAUUAUAAUAAACAAUCAUAUAAUUCUUUAAAACCAAAAAAAUUAUUAGCAGCUUAAAGAUUAAUUUGUAUAAUAUUAGGUAAUUAUUUCUAAAAUUGUUUAAUAAAUAAAUAUAUUUAUUUUUAGUAAAAUAAGCCUAGAUGUUUAGUUGAAUUUAGAGAUUGUUCAACCACAUACGGGUAUGAAAACUACCCUAUCUAUUUGACAGCAGUGAGGAAUUUUGGACAAUAUGCGAAAGCAUGAUCCAGCGAACUAAUGGAAACGAAGAAGAUAGACAAUAUUGUAAAGUUUAGUGCGAGAAUUAACAAAUGAGUAUAUUCUAGGAGAAGCUCUGGCUAAUACAUGUGCCAGCAGCCGCGGUAAUACAUGAGGAGCGAGCGUUAUCCAUAUUGACUGAGUGUAUUAAAUACGUAGGAUGUUAUAAUUACUACUUUAAAAAUGUAAUAAAAACUAAAUACUGUAGUUAUUUUAUAAACAAUAAUUAUAAUUAAGAGUAGGAGACUUAUAGAACAACGAUUAAAUGUAGUUACACUAUAUAGCUAGCCAUAAACUAAGGUGCUUCUCUAAUUAUAAUUUUAUCUGAUGUAUGAAAGUACGGGUAUCGAUGAGGACUAGUCUCCCUAGUAGUCCGUACUGUAAAAGAUGAAUACUUUAUGAAUUACGAAUUCAGGAAUAGCUAACGCAAAGUAUUCUGCUUGGGGAGUAUUAUCGCAAGAUUAAAACUUAACUGAAUUGGCGGGAAUUUGUUCGAACGGUGGAACAUGUGGUUUAAUGCGAUAAUCCACGCAAAAUCUUACCAACGUUUUAGGCUUUAUCUAGUAAUAUGGUUAACACUAUAAUUAUGUAGUAAAGUACGGAAUUGCAUGGCUGUCGUCAGUUCGUGCUGUGAAGUUUAGGAUUAAGUUCUUUUUAACGAAUGCAACCCUAUAAAUAAGUCUUUAAUAAGUAUUAAAUGUUUAUAUUUAUUAUUCUUGUUUAAUCUAUAUCCGGGUAUAUCGAAGUAAUAUUUUGUAUACCUGAAUAUAGGGGUUUUAGGCUGAAGUCAAGUCCCUAUGGUCUUUAUACGUUGGGCUACACACGUGUUACAAGGGUAAAAACAAAGAGACGCAAUAGAGUAAUCUGGAGCAAAACUCUAAAAAUUACCUCAGUUCAGAUUGUCUCAUGAAAUUCUGAGGCAUGAAGAUGAAAUCGUUAGUAAUUGUAAAUUAAAAUGUUACAGUGAAAUAUUAGUCAAAUUUUGCACACACCGCCCAUCACGCUCGGAAAGUCAAUAUUAGCGGAAGAUUUGAAAAUCUCUACGGAAUAAUAAAUUUAAUAUUAAUUUAUUAGUCAUUAUGUUUUUUUUUAACGCUGUGGAUGGAAAGUAGUAUCUAAUCUAAUAUUGGUAAUCUGAGUGAAGUUGACACAAGGUACUGGUAGGGGAACCUGUUGGUGGAAUAUAUUAUUAU